CCUACGGGCGGCUGCAGUGGGGAAUUUUGGACAAUGGGCGAAAGCCUGAUCCAGCAAUGCCGCGUGUGUGAAGAAGGCCUUCGGGUUGUAAAGCACUUUUGUCCGGAAAGAAAUCCUUGGCCCUAAUACGGUCGGGGGAUGACGGUACCGGAAGAAUAAGCACCGGCUAACUACGUGCCAGCAGCCGCGGUAAUACGUAGGGUGCGAGCGUUAAUCGGAAUUACUGGGCGUAAAGCGUGCACAGGCGGUUGAAAUCCCCGGGCUCAACCUGGGAACUGCAGUGGUGACUGGCAAGCUAGAGUAUGGCAGAGGGGGGUAGAAUUCCACGUGUAGCAGUGAAAUGCGUAGAGAUGUGGAGGAAUACCGAUGGCGAAGGCAGCCCCCUUGGCCAAUACUGACGCUCAUGCACGAAAGCGUGGGGAGCAAACAGGAUUAGAUACCCCAGUAGUC
rnacentral:rRNA from 1 species